GGGCGUUUAGCGCAGUGGUAGCGCGCAUGCUUUGCAUUGUGACGUGAUUCUACGUGAAUUAUGUAACCAAUUGUAUGAGGUCCAGGGUUCAAUCCCCUGAACGUCCA